ACAUCUGUCUCAUCUCACACCGUUCUGACAGAGAGAGGUGAGGAACAGGUCUAUCUGUCUCAUCUCACACCGUUCUGACAGAGAGGUGAGGAACAGGUCUAUCUGUCUCAUCUCACACCGUUCUGACAGAGAGAGGUGAGGAACAGGUCUAUCUGUCUCAUCUCACACCGUUCUGACAGAGAGGUGAGGAACAGGUCUAUCUUCUGUCUCAUCUCACACCGUUCUGACAGAGAGAGGUGAGGAACAGGUCUAUCUUCUGUCUCAUCUCACACCGUUCUGACAGAGAGAGGUGAGGAACAGGUCUAUCUUCUGUCUCAUCUCACACCGUUCUGACAGAGAGAGGUGAGGAACAGGUCUAUCUUCUGUCUCAUCUCACACCGUUCUGACAGAGAGAGGUGAGGAACAGGUCUAUCUUCUGUCUCAUCUCACACCGUUCUGACAGAGAGAGGUGAGGAACAGGUCUAUCUUCUGUCUCGUCUCACACCGUUCUGACAGAGAGAGGUGAGGAACAGGUCUAUCUUCUGUCUCGUCUCACACCGUUCUGACAGAGAGAGGUGAGGAACAGGUCUAUCUU